GGGUGGAAGAGUUAAGAUCGGUUGGUAUCUGGGCAGCUUGCAUUGCCCAGUAGAUUUUGUUAUCUAGAAAUAGCCUAGUGUUUGAGGCUAGAAGCUAUUUAGCAAGAUUCAUUUUGGAGAGAGCCCUAACUGCGGCUGCUGAGAUGAUUGAUGUGAUCUCAAGACCCUCGCAGACUUGGGAUCCCCACCUUACUCUUGCGGCGAC
rnacentral:lncRNA from 1 species